UGUUGGUGAGGUAAUGGCUCACCAAGACUGUGAUCAAUAGCUGAUUUGAGAGGAUGAUCAGCCACAUUGGGACUGAGACACGGCCCAAACUCCUACGGGAGGCAACAGUAGGGAAUCUUGCACAAUGGGGGAAACCCUGGUGCAGCGAUGCCGCGUGAGUGAAGAAGGCCUUUGGGUUGUAAAGCUCUUUCGUCGGGGAAGAAAAUGACUGCCUCCCGAAUAAGAAGGUCCGGCUAACUUCGUGCCAGCAGCCGCGGUAAUACGAAGGGACCUAGCGUAGUUCGGAAUUACUGGGCUUAAAGAGUUCGUAGGUUGUUAAAAAGGUUGGUGGUGAAAUCCCAGAGCUUAACUCUGGAACUGCCAUCAAAACUUUUUAGCUAGAGUUUGAUAGAGGAAAGCAGAAUUUCUAGUGUAGAGGUGAAAUUCGUAGAUAUUAGAAAGAAUACCAAUUGCGAAGGCAGCUUUCUGGAUCAUUACUGACACUGAGGAACGAAAGCAUGGGUAGCGAAGAGGAUUAGAUACCCUCGUAGUCCAUGCCGUAAACGAUGUGUGUUAGACGUUGGAAAUUUAUUUUCAGUGUCGCAGCGAAAGCAAUAAACACACCGCCUGGGGAGUACGACCGCAAGGUUAAAACUCAAAUGAAUUGACGGGGACCCGCACAAGUAGUGGAGCAUGUGGUUUAAUUCGAAGAUACGCGCAGAACCUUACCAACACUUGACAUGUUCGUCGCGACUUUAAGAGAUUAAAGUUUUCGGUUCGGCCGGACGAAACACAGGUGCUGCAUGGCUGUCGUCAGCUCGUGUCGUGAGAUGUUGGGUUAAGUCCCGCAACGAGCGCAACCCUCACUUUUAGUUGCCAUCAUUUAGUUGGGCACUCUGAAAGAACUGCCAGUGAUAAGCUGGAGGAAGGUGGGGAUGACGUCAA
rnacentral:rRNA from 1 species